CCUCGGUGGCGCAGUUGGUGGCGCGUCAGUCCCAUAAACUGAAGGUCGUGAGUUCAAUCCUCACCCGAGGUA
rnacentral:tRNA from 1 species